rnacentral:rRNA from 1 species
CCUACGGGGGGCAGCAGUAGGGAAUCUUCCACAAUGGACGAAAGUCUGAUGGAGCAACGCCGCGUGAGUGAAGAAGGGUUUCGGGUCGUAAAGCUCUUUUGGUAGUGAAGAAAGAUAGAGGUAGUAACUGGCCUUUAUUUGACGGUAGUUACUUAGAAAGUCACGGCUAACUCCGUUCCAGCAGCCGCGGUAAGACGUAGGUGGCAAGCGUUGUCCGGAUUUAUUGGGCGUAACGCGAGUGCAGGCGGUUCAAUAAGUCUGAUGUGAAAGUCUUCGGCUCAACCGGAGAAUUGCAUCAGAAACUGUUUAACUUGAGUGCAGAAGAGGAGAGUGGAACUCGAGGUGUAGCGGUGGAAUGCGUAGAUAUAUGGAAGAACACCAGUGGCGAAGGCGGCUCUCUGGUCUGCAACUGACGCUGAGGCUCGAAAGCAUGGGUAGCGAACAGGAUUAGAUACCCGUGUAGUC